CGGGACAGCAGCUCAAAAACGUGAUUUUUGGACCAUUUCUUACAUUUUCUUUUCCUCUCUUCUUCUCCCCUCUUUCAUGUCCGAAAACUUAGCCCUAAAAACCUUGAUUUCCUCCACUUUUAUCAACAAAUCAACCAUGGAUUUUGCAUCAACAAAGAAGAACAAGUGAAGAUCAACAUUUUCAACCGAUUGGAUUUUGGAAUUUUGAAGUGAUGCUCUUGACCUAGCUUCCUUGCUUUCAAUCUUGAGGGCACACUUCAGGAGGGCCAAGCACUCCGUUGUAGCACUGUCACCAAUCAGGUGGUCUGUCCUAGCCAAGACGCCCGCUUUCUUUUGUCAACCUUCGUAUGUCCAGGCACUAUAUAAGCCAUUUAUUUUGUCAAGUUGUCAAGAUGUUGACUUGCUUAUGGGUGUCCCUCUAAGGUUGUUGUAUAUACUUUCAUGUUCGUUUUU